UCCUUGGUGGCCCAGUGGCUAAGACUCUGCACUCCCAAUGCAGGGGGCCUGGGUUCGAUCCCUAGUCAGGGAA
rfam:Ovis aries breed Texel chromosome 10, whole genome shotgun sequence.